GCGGCAUGCCUACACAUGCAAGUCUCUACGGCAGCAGGUCCUUCGGGAUGCUGGCGAGUGGCGGACGGGUGAGUAAUGCGUAGGAACCUAUCCUUUUGUGGGGGACAACCCAGGGAAACUUGGGCUAAUACCGCAUAAGCCCUGAGGGGGAAAGCGGGGGAUCUUCGGACCUCGUGCUGAAGGAGGGGCCUACGUCCGAUUAGCUAGUUGGUGGGGUAAAGGCCUACCAAGGCGACAAUCGGUAGCUGGUCUGAGAGGACGACCAGCCACACUGGGACUGAGACACGGCCCAGACUCCUACGGGAGGCAGCAGUGGGGAAUUUUUCGCAAUGGGGGCAACCCUGACGAAGCAAUGCCGCGUGGAUGAAGAAGGCCUUCGGGUUGUAAAGUCCUUUCGUGGGGGACGAAAAGGCGGAUCCGAAUACGGUCUGCUAUUGACGUGAACCCAAGAAGAAGCACCGGCUAACUCCGUGCCAGCAGCCGCGGUAAU
rnacentral:rRNA from 1 species